ensembl:snRNA U7 U7 small nuclear RNA
AAGUGUUACAGCUCUUUUAGAAUCUGUCUAGUGAACUUUCUAGUGAGAAACCC